CCAGGAAGCAAUUUUUGUUUACUUUUAAAAUGCCAACCUCUGUAAAUAGUAAUUUAUUUUGAGUAAACAUUGAGUGAGAAAUAAAGCCACAGAAUACAUUCAUACCACUCAAAUUCAGCCAGUCAGAAUGAUGGGAAGGAUUGCAGAACUGAGUUUCACUCUCACCUGACUGAUGCAGAUUCAGUAACCUAAUUGCUCAUGAUGGUUUCUGAGAAAAAAACAGCUUGGUGUAAUUUGACAGUAUUUUUCAGUAUUUGACAGUGGUUCUAUCAUGCAACAGUCAUACCAUGAAGUGUCUCACAGAUUCUCUCUCAAUUCCUGCAAUAUCCAAGAUUACAGUGUAGUGCAAACGGGAUUAAUUUUCUUGCAAUAAGAAGUAUCUGCACUUCCAAAUACCCCUGUACAGCAUGAACAGUUCCUUCAGUUUUUGAGUGAUUAUAGAGUGAAAAUGUUUCCAUAUAAAAUGUUUUCUUUUUAUGUGUAAAACUUGUUAUGAAUGGUUACAAAUACAUGCAUGGACAUUAUGAUUCCAAAUCUAUGCACAUUUUGAUUCCAAUAAUUAACAACAAAAGUAUUUUGAAUUUGGUUUGAAACAGAAAUAUUGUCAUUUUGUUUGUUUCUAAACAGUAAGUGGUAUUAUUCGUGUUUAUAGUUUCCAUGUUAAUUUAAAAAAAAGUCAGUUCUUUUAAAGAUGCACUCUUACUCCCACAUAAGAUUUACCACAAUUGAUACUUUUGUUUUAUUAUUCCAAAAAGGAUGAAUAAAUGUUGAAAACAAUGGUUCUAAUGAAGGAUGCCUACUUCUACUUGAAGGAAAUGUGCAUAAAAGACAGUAUUUCUACCAUUUGAGAUCAUAGUAGAUCACAGUAAAUCUUUAUGCAUUCACCAAUCAUUUAAUAUGUUUGCAUUUUCAGCUUAAAUAUACGGUUACAAUAUUUUUAUCAAUACUUGAUAUUUUCCGAAAAUGAAUUAUUAAGUAAGUUGUUAAAGGGUUAACAGUCAAAGUAUAUGUUUGUUAUACAUGUGUAUGCAUUGAUACUAAAUAAACAGUUGUCAUGGUAACUAUAGAGUCUAGUUUUCUUCAGAAACUGUAAUUGUUGUCUAAAAACCUUUGUAUUUUCAAUGUGGUACUUUUUUAGCAUGUCCGCUUCAGUCAAUGAACUAUUUGUUAUUUGUUAAUCAUUUGGUCAUACUUUGUAUACAAUUAUAUUUAUAAUUUAACCUUGAAAUUGCUGACAAUCUCAUACUUAUAUUGAAAUAUUCAGAAUUGCUCACCUUUAUUACAAUUGUCAGGCAAAUCAUGGCAAGAUAUACAUAAUUCUCAAUUUUAACAAAAAGCGAUGUUUAAAGCAUUUUUUGUAUUUUAUUGAAUGGUUACCAUGGCACCUAAUUUUUUGUUUGCCUUUAAUCUUCCUAUUUAUAAUACUAUUAAUUGUAAAAAUGCAACAGUCAAGCAGUGAAUGGAAGAAUGUAAAUGUUCUUUGUCUUUUACCUUUUUCAAGCUCAUUCUUCAAAAUAUAAAGCAUUUUUAAAA